GACGAACGCUGGCGGCGUGCUUAACACAUGCCAGUCGAACGGAAAGGCCCUGCUUUUGUGGGGUGCUCGAGUGGCGAACGGGUGAGUAACACGUGAGUAACCUGCCCUUGACUUUGGGAUAACUUCAGGAAACUGGGGCUAAUACCGGAUAGGAGCUCCUGCUGCAUGGUGGGGGUUGGAAAGUUUCGGCGGUUGGGGAUGGACUCGCGGCUUAUCAGCUUGUUGGUGGGGUAGUGGCUUACCAAGGCUUUGACGGGUAGCCGGCCUGAGAGGGUGACCGGCCACAUUGGUACUGAGAUACGGCCCAGAAUCCUACGGGAGGCAGCAGUGGGGAAUAUUGCACAAUGGGCGGAAGCCUGAUGCAGCAACGCCGCGUGCGGGAUGACGGCCUUCGGGUUGUAAACCGCUUUCGCCUGUGACGAAGCGGGAGUGACGGUAAUGGGUAAAGAAGCACCGGCUAACUACGUG
rnacentral:rRNA from 1 species